rnacentral:rRNA from 1 species
ACUCAAAUGAAUUGACGGGGACCCGCACAAGCAGUGGAGGAUGUGGUUUAAUUCGACGCUAAGCGAAGAACCUUACCGAGGUUUGACAUCCCAGGAAAUCUAUGGAAACUAAGAUGUGCCUUCGGGAACCUGGUGACAGGUGCUGCAUGGCCGUCGUCAGCUCGUGUCGUGAGAUGUUGGGUUAAGUCCCGCAACGAGCGCAACCCUCGUCUUAAGUUACUAUGUCUUAAGAGACCGCCUGGGUUAACCAGGAGGAAGGUGGGGAUGACGUCUGGUCAGCAUGGCCCUUACACCUCGGGCCACACACGUCCUACAAUGGCCGUUACAACGCGCUAGCCAAGCCGUAAGGCGGAGCGAAUCGCAUCAAAAGCGGCCUCAGUUCGGAUUGAGGGCUGAAACUCGCCCUCAUGAAGCUGGAAUUGCUAGUAAUGGUGGAUCAGAAUGCCGCCGUGAAUACGUUCUCGGGUCUUGUACACACCGCCCGU